GAUUGAACGCUGGCGGCAGGCCUAACACAUGCAAGUCGAGCGGCAGCACGGGUACUUGUACCUGGUGGCGAGCGGCGGACGGGUGAGUAAUGCCUAGGAAUCUGCCUGGUAGUGGGGGAUAACGCUCGGAAACGGACGCUAAUACCGCAUACGUCCUACGGGAGAAAGCAGGGGACCUUCGGGCCUUGCGCUAUCAGAUGAGCCUAGGUCGGAUUAGCUAGUUGGUGAGUAAUGGCUCACCAAGGCGACGAUCCGUAACUGGUCUGAGAGGAUGAUCAGUCACACUGGAACUGAGACCUACGGUCCAGUACCUUCCGUA
rnacentral:rRNA from 1 species